rnacentral:rRNA from 1 species
UACGUAGGUGGCAAGCGUUGUCCGGAAUUAUUGGGCGUAAAGAGCUCGUAGGCGGUCUGUCGCGUCGGCUGUGAAAACCCGGGGCUCAACCCCGGGCCUGCGGUCGAUACGGGCAGACUAGAGUGCGGUAGGGGAGACUGGAAUUCCUGGUGUAGCGGUGAAAUGCGCAGAGUAUCAGGAGGAACACCGGUGGCGAAGGCGGGUCUCUGGGCCGAUACUGACGCUGAGGAGCGAAAGCGUGGGGAGCGAACAGG